GAACAUUUGCUCCAUUAUCAGAUACCGGACGCCAGAUCUUGCAGUCUCUUGUUAGUGCUUCUGCUUCCAGUGGAGGUGGGGGAUGUCAGCCCUGGGAACAGCGUGUUCUUGAAAUAAAUGUCCUUUUAGAGGGAAGUGUCUGAGCCAGAGCAGUCAGGAAAAAGUGGGUCAGUGCUUGCCUUUUUUUUUUUUUUUUUUUUUAAACAAGUGCACUCAUAUCCAGAGCUUGGUUUGGGCACAAAGCCAAGUAAGCUUGGACUUCCCAAGCUCCCGUCUGCGCCCACGUUCCAGACAGAGACCACAGAGAAAUGGCCUUGCACAUCCAUUCAGGAGAGCGGGGCCCGGGGCCACCCCAGGACCGGAUGAGGACCAGCCCCUCCUCCCCAGGGAAAGGGAGUUCGCAGAGUCCAUUUGUUUUCUUUGCUGCCAUCACAAACUUCUACAAAGUUAGAGGCUGACAACGGCACAAUGUAUAACCCUGCAGUUCCGUAAUGGGGGCCAGUGGAGAAUCCCUUUUCUGUGCUCAUUUGCAUUGUCUGCAGAAUGCAGAUCCUUGCAGUAUGGGACUGAGGUGUUGUCACCUUGCUGGGGUCAGUGGGGACCAGUCUCAGCGUCUACGGGCAGCCCCCUACCAGCUUGCAAAGCCGAUGAUGGCUGAUGAGCACACGGCACCUCCCUGCCUCCUCCUCUGCCGUCACUUCUCUCAGACGGGCUCUUCUGCCUUUGUCCUCCUCUUCUGGGGUUCAUGCCAUUCCGCUGGGCCACCUAAGUAACCCAGGAUCACCUCCCCAGUCAAGGUCAUGAACUGACUCACACCUCCACAGUCCCUUUUGCCAUGGAAGGCAGCAGGUUCACAGCUUAGGGCCGAGGGCACAGACUUCUUCACGGGCGGUUAUCUGGGAGAUCACAGCGAGGAAGCAGAGAUGUGUAGACCUUCGCCCAAGUCAGAUGGGCUGACCCCAGCCUGCUGUGAGCUCUGCGCCAAGCUCUGGAGAGUCCCUCUUCACACUGGCUGGCUCCGUUCUCACUCUGCCCUGCAGGUGGGUUCUGUUCUUCUUUUAUGCUUGCCCGUGCUGUAUUCGGAGUUGAGCCCACUCUCUCCCCAACUGCAAGUCGUGGUUGCAGUGGUCCCUGCACCUAUCACAAGGGGCCUGAACAAAUCUGCCUUACUGUGCUCUAACAAGCACCACCGGAUAACCUGUUCUUCCAAAACCCCAGAUGGAAAGAAUGAAACUGAGCAGCCAAAUCAGCAACUGCAACAAAAAGCCUUCGGGUAGUGGGGAGGGGUUUGGGGGGCGG
rnacentral:lncRNA from 10 species